rnacentral:rRNA from 1 species
CCCGCGACAAGCGGUGGAGUAUGUGGUUAAUUCGAUGCAACGCGAAGAACCUUACCUGGUCUUGACAUCCCGGAGACCCUUAGGAAACUAGGGGGUGCUUCCAUCUGGAGAAUCUGGAGACAGGUGCUGCAUGGCUGUCGUCAGCUCGUGUCGUGAGAUGUUGGGUUAAGUCCCGCAACGAGCGCAACCCUUGCCUUAGUUGCCAGCAGUUCGGCUGGGCACUCUAAAGGGACUGCCGGUGUUAAACCGGAGGGAAGGUGGGGAUGACGUCAAGUCCUCAUGGCCUUUAUGACCAGGGCUACACACGUACUACAAUGGCCGAUACAAAGGGCAGCGACACUGCGAGGUGAAGCCAAUCCCGUAAAAUCGGUCUCAGUCCGGAUUGGAGUCUGCAACUCGACUCCAUGAAGUUGGAAUCGCUAGUAAUCGUGGAUCAGCAUGCCACGGUGAAUACGUUCCCGGCCUU